UACGGGGGGGGCAAGCGUUGUUCGGAUUUACUGGGUUUAAAGGGUGCGCAGGCGGAUAUGUAAGUCAGUGGUGAAAUCUCCGGGCUUAACCCGGAAACUGCCGUUGAUACUAUAUAUCUUGAAUGCUGUGGAGGUAAGCAGAAUAUGUCAUGUAGCGGUGAAAUGCUUAGAUAUCGGGAGGAACACCAGUGGCGAAGGCGGUUGCCUGGAGCUUUGCUGACGCUGAGGCGCGAAAGCGUGGGGAGCGAUCCGG
rnacentral:rRNA from 1 species